rnacentral:rRNA from 1 species
AUGGUACCGGAUCCAGGGUGGUGCAAGUUGAAUACUGAUGGGUCAUUCGUUAAUUCUGAUGAAGCUGGUGCUGGUAUGAUCUUGCGUGACCAUCUUGGGGCUAUUAACUUUUCUGCAUGUAGGGUUUUGUACUCGUGCAGAGACUCCCUUGAAGCGGAGCUGUGUGCAUGCAUGGAAGGCCUGUCCAUUGCAGUGCAGCGAUGUGAUUUGCCAAUUGCUGUGGAGAUGGAUUCUCUCGAAGCGGUCUCUCUCAUAUCAAGCCCGGACAUGGAUCCUUCUGUUUACUCUUCACUUGUUAGAGAGAUUGAGUACUUAUUGGGUCUUCGGAAAACUUGUAUUUCUCAUGUCGCUAGAACUCAAAAUAAAGCUAGUGAUUGCUUAGCUAGUUUUGCUAGAACCCAAGGUAGGACCAUGACUUGGCUAGGAGCUGGUCCAGUUGAAGUAGUGGAGAUAGCAUCGAUGGAUCGUAAGGAUGUUGUGACUGAUUAA